GUGAACGCUGGCGGUAGGCCUAACACAUGCAAGUCGCACGGCAGCACAGUAAGAGCUUGCUCUUACGGGUGGCGAGUGGCGGACGGGUGAGGAAUACAUCGGAAUCUACUUUUUCGUGGGGGAUAACGUAGGGAAACUUACACUAAUACCGCAUACGACCUACGGGUGAAAGCAGGGGAUCUUCGGACCUUGCGCGAUUGAAUGAGCCGAUGUCGGAUUAGCUAGUUGGCGGGGUAAAGGCCCACCAAGGCGACGAUCCGUAGCUGGUCUGAGAGGAUGAUCAGCCACACUGGAACUGAGACACGGUCCAGACUCCUACGGGAGGCAGCAGUGGGGAAUAUUGGACAAUGGGCGCAAGCCUGAUCCAGCCAUACCGCGUGGGUGAAGAAGGCCUUCGGGUUGUAAAGCCCUUUUGUUGGGAAAGAAAAGCAGCAGGUUAAUACCCCGCUGUUCUGACGGUACCCAAAGAAUAAGCACCGGCUAACUUCGUG
rnacentral:rRNA from 1 species